rnacentral:rRNA from 1 species
UACGGGGGGGGCAAGCGUUGUUCGGAAUUACUGGGCGUAAAGGGCGCGUAGGCGGCCAUCUAAGUCAGACGUGAAAUCCCCCGGCUUAACCUGGGAACUGCGUCUGAUACUGGAAGGCUCGAGUUUGGGAGAGGGAUGUGGAAUUCCAGGUGUAGCGGUGAAAUGCGUGGAUAUCUGGAGGAACACCGGUGGCGAAGGCGGCAUCCUGGACCAACACUGACGCUGAGGCGCGAAAGCUAGGGGAGCAAACGGG